rnacentral:rRNA from 1 species
GAUGAACGCUAGCUACAGGCUUAACACAUGCAAGUCGAGGGGUAACGAGAGGAAAGCUUGCUUUCCUUGUCGACGACCGGCGCACGGGUGAGUAACGCGUAUCCAACCUGCCCCCAACUAGGGAAUAACCUUGCGAAAGUAAGACUAAUACCCUAUAAUUUCCUCAGAUGACAUCUGACGAGGAAUAAAGAUUUAUCGGUUGUGGAUGGGGAUGCGUCUGAUUAGCUUGUUGGCGGGGUAACGGCCCACCAAGGCAACGAUCAGUAGGGGUUCUGAGGGGAAGGUCCCCCCCAUUGGAACUGGGACACGGUCCAAACUCCUACGGGAGGCAGCAGUGAGGAAUAUUGGUCAAUGGGCGGAAGCCUGAACCAGCCAAGUAGCGUGCAGGAUGACGGCCCUAUGGGUUGUAAACUGCUUUUAUACAGGAAUAAAGUUAGCCACGUGUGGUUAUUUGUAGGUACUGUAUGAAUAAGGACCGGCUAAUUCCGUGCCAGCCGCCGCCGUAAGAC